rnacentral:misc_RNA from 1 species
UUUAAGACAAUUUUUAAAAAAAAUAUUAUUUUAUUAAAUUCACACUGUCAUGUCAGCAAAAUUAACAGUGUUAAAGCAUUUGUCCUUAAAGUGCUAAUGGAGUAAAGCUCAUGGCACCAUUUUGUCAAAAAUUGAACCCCAUGCCCUGAAACAUCAAACAUGAAACCUCAUGGUACUUUUUAUGCUUUCCCCUAGAUAAUUUCCACAUUGGAGGAAGCUUGGGUAAGCAAUAUGGAGAAGAAUGUGCCAACUUUUACUGGUCUAUUGUUAAGAUCAGAUCUGAAUUAA